rnacentral:rRNA from 1 species
GAUGAACGCUGGCGGCGUGCUUAACACAUGCAAGUCGAACGUGAGAGGAUAGCAAUAUUCUUGAAAGUGGCGCACGGGUGAGUAAUACGUAGGUAACCUGCCCUGGAGUGGGGGAUAACAACUAGAAAUGGUUGCUAAUACCGCAUGAAGCCAAGACACUGGGAAGUGACUUGGUAAAAACUCUGGUGCUUCAGGAGGGGCCUACGGCCGAUUAGCUAGUUGGCGGGGUAAGAGCCCACCAAGGCAGUGAUCGGUAGCUGGUCUGAGAGGACGAUCAGCCACACGGGAACUGAGACACGGUCCCGACUCCUACGGGGGGGCAGCAGUGAGGAAUAUUGGGCAAUGGGCGAAAGCCUGACGCAGCGACGCCGCGUGGAGGAUGAAGGUCUUUGGAUUGUAAACUUCUGUUAAGUGGGAAGAAAGGCAAAGUUUUAAUACAACUUUGAUAUGACGGUACCAUUAGAGAAAGACACCGGCUAAACUCGUGCCAGCAGCCG